GUACACACCGCCCGUCAAACCAUGAGAGUUGGCAACACCCGAAGUCGGUAGUCUAACCGCAAGGAGGACGCCGCCGAAGGUGGGGUUGAUGAUUAGGGUUAAGUCGUAACAAGGUAGC
rnacentral:rRNA from 1 species